rnacentral:tRNA from 1 species
UGGCUGAGAGGUUAAAGCAUCUGCCUCCAAUGCAGGAGACCUGGGUUCAAUCCCUG